UACGUAGGAGGCGAGCGUUGUCCGGAGUUACUGGGCGUAAAGGGUGCGCAGGCGGCGGUUCGCGUGGCGAGAUGAAAUCUCCUGGCUUACCUGGGAGGGUGGUCGCCAGACGGGAUCGCUUGAGGGUCGGAGAGGGGCGUGGAAUUCCGGGUGGAGCGGUGAAAUGCGUAGAGAUCCGGAGGAACACCGACGGCGUAGGCAGCGCCCUGGACGACACCUGACGCUGAGGCGCGAAAGCGUGGGGAGCGAACAGG
rnacentral:rRNA from 1 species